rnacentral:siRNA from 1 species
ACCGCAUCACACUUCUCCCGCACC